CCUACGGGGGGCUGCAGUGGGGAAUAUUGGACAAUGGGGGCAACCCUGAUCCAGCCAUGCCGCGUGUGUGAAGAAGGCCCUCGGGUUGUAAAGCACUUUCAGUGAGGAAGAACGCCUGGUGGUUAAUACCCAUCAGGAAAGACAUCACUCACAGAAGAAGCACCGGCUAACUCCGUGCCAGCAGCCGCGGUAAUACGGAGGGUGCGAGCGUUAAUCGGAAUUACUGGGCGUAAAGCGCGCGUAGGUGGCUUGAUAAGCCGGUUGUGAAAGCCCCGGGCUCAACCUGGGAACGGCAUCCGGAGCUGUCAAGCUAGAGUGCAGGAGAGGAAGGUAGAAUUCCCGGUGUAGCGGUGAAAUGCGUAGAGAUCGGGAGGAAUACCAGUGGCGAAGGCGGCCUUCUGGACUGACACUGACACUGAGGUGCGAAAGCGUGGGUAGCAAACAGGAUUAGAUACCCUAGUAGUC
rnacentral:rRNA from 1 species